rnacentral:rRNA from 1 species
CCUACGGGUGGCAGCAGUGAGGAAUAUUGGUCAAUGGGCGCGAGCCUGAACCAGCCAAGUAGCGUGAAGGAUGACUGCCCUACGGGUUGUAAACUUCUUUUAUAAAGGAAUAAAGUGAGGCACGUGUGCCUUUUUGUAUGUACUUUAUGAAUAAGGAUCGGCUAACUCCGUGCCAGCAGCCGCGGUAAUACGGAGGAUCCGAGCGUUCUCCGGAUUUAUUGGGUUUAAAGGGAGCGUAGAUGGGUUGUUAAGUCAGUGGUGAAAGUUUGCGGCUCAACCGUAAGAUUGCAAUUGAUACUGGCAGUGUUGAGUGCAGUGGAGGGAGGCGGAGUUCGUGGUGUAGCGGUGAAAUGCUUAGAUAGCACGAGGGGCACCGAGUGCGAGAGGAGCUUACUAAGCUGCCACUGUCAUUGAUACUCGAGAGUGUGGGU